GACGAACGCUGGCGGCGUGCUUAACACAUGCGAGUCGAACGGAAAGGCCCUGCUUUUGUGGGGUGCUCGAGUGGCGAACGGGUGAGUAACACGUGAGUAACCUGCCCUGGACUUUGGGAUAACUUCGGGAAACUGGGGCUAAUACCGGAUAGGAGCUCCUGCUGCAUGGUGGGGGUUGGAAAGUUUCGGCGGUUGGGGAUGGACUCGCGGCUUAUCAGCUUGUUGGUGGGGUAGUGGCUUACCAAGGCUUUGACGGGUAGCCGGCCUGAGAGGGUGACCGGCCACAUUGGGACUGAGAUACGGCCCAGACUCCUACGGGAGGCAGCAGUGGGGAAUAUUGCACAAUGGGCGGAAGCCUGAUGCAGCAACGCCGCGUGCGGGAUGAAGGCCUUCGGGUUGUAAACCGCUUUCGCCUGUGACGAAGCGUGAGUGACGGUAAUGGGUGAAGAAGCACCGGCUAACUACGUG
rnacentral:rRNA from 1 species